rnacentral:rRNA from 2 species
GAACAAGGUUUCCGUAGGUGAACCUGCGGAAGGAUCAUUG